UCUCUCUGCAGCGUAUAUGAUGCUGUGAACUGCAGAGGCGGCAGGAGUGGAAGGGAGGACCCCAGGGGGACCCCAGAAGCCAGGAAAUGGUGGGGAACUCAAGGACCAAAUAGGAGAAAUGACUUUUCUACAGUCACAUGCCAUGGCAGGGCUAGAAUCCAGCAUAAGGACAUCUGUAGUUUUAACCUGUGUGAGAAGAUUGUCUCUACUCUCCAGAUUGUCUCAACUCCUGAGUGUUGGAGCCUGUGCUGAAGUUCAUCAGAUAUUCCAGGCAGGGCUUGUCUAGAAGCAGAAUAUACUACACCAAGGAUAGUUUGAGAUCAAGUGGGAAUAGGACACAGAGACACUCAGAGAGAAAGUCCCUGUGAAGAUGUAGACAAAGAUUGGAGUUAUGCUACUACAAGCCAAGGAAAUUUAGAAGCUACCAGAAACUGGGAGAGGCAAGGAAAUAUUCUCACCUAGAGCUUGACAGAAAUCCGCUAUCUUUAAAACUUGGAUCUUCAGAUGCUCCUGAAGACAGAAAAGUCAGGUAUCUUCUGUUUAAGAAAGGUGCUGGGCUUCCCUGGUGGCACAGUGGUUGAGAGUCUGCCUGCUAAUGCAGGGGACACGGGUUCGAGCCCUGGUCUGGGAAGAUCCCACAUGCCGCGGAGCAACUGGGCCCGUGAGCCACAUCUACUGAGCCUGAGCGUCUGGAGCCUGUGCUCCGCAACAAGAGAGGCCGCGAUAGUGAGAGGCUCGCGCACCGCGAUGAAGAGUAGCCCCCGCUCGCCGCAACUAGA